CAGAAUGGACAUUUUCUGAGGAAAGCUGCCUCCUCCUUCUGAAAGUCAGCACAACUCCUAUGCAGAUGUGUGUAGCACAUUCUAUAGGUUGCUUGCAGGAUUGCCGUUACUUUGGUUUUGUUUCCUACUGAAGCUGAAGCUUCACAACCCACGCCACCAAUCAGUCACCAACCAGUCCUUUCUGAGGAGGACAAAGAGGAACUGGCAACCAGGGACACUUUGCUACUUCUAAAAUAUAAAUGGCAGUGGGACAAUUGCUUCCUCAAAAUGAAGGACCAGACUGUGGACACACUUCACACUUGCACACAUGAGCAGGUAUCUCUGCCACGUGUCUUGGGAGAAUCUUCUUGAAGUAAAGAAAUAGCUCUUAAGAACCAGAUUUUUUUUUUCUGGAAGCUGUACUGAGUAGCUAUGCUAAACUGCUGCUUUUUUAAUCUAACCUGUAUUAAAGAUGUUUUGAAUGCACA